GUAAUAUUUUAGCCACACUUUUUUAUGCUUGCUCACACUCAAUGCCUGAAAAUAGGAUGAAAUAGUAAAUUUUGUGGAAUAUACAAAUACGGUCAUUUUUAAUAACUAAAGAAGAAGAAAAACGUCUAUACAGUUGUCAAAUAAAAUUUUAACAAAUCAAAGAAACAAACAAUGUUGAAAAAGUUGUCAAAUGACAUUUCAACAAAAAAUUGACAAUGAUGCCUUAAAUAAAGUGGACUGGAACCUUUGAGAAACGAGUCUAAUGAAUAAUGAGAGGACAAAUCUAUACUAUACUAAAAGGAGAAUAAGAUGAGUGGUGAGAGUGUCCACGUCCUCACUUUAAAUCAGCCAAUGGGAUUGGUUCUUUUCUCCACGUGUACUCUCCAAUUUCUUCAUCUCACGUUUACAAAACUCUCGCUCUCUAGAUUAUUAACAAUUUGCAAAAGGCCUUUAACUAGCCCAAAACAUUUCCCGAAAAUCUGUACAGCCACGUCUUUCCAUCUUCUUCUACUCGCGAAACCCCAAAUUUCCUGCCGCUCCGGAUUUCUGGUGUAACUUUCUGCCUGAAUAAUUAAGCUUCAUCAAAUCUAUGUUAAUGGCUUCUGCAAUCAAAACCUACUCGCCGAUAGAAUUUCCAUGCCUUCACCCUAUAUAUAUAUCACUCUGUUACAGUCUACAAAAAAAUCCUUCACUUCCAUGACCAACAAAUCAGCAAUAUCAUCCUCCACAUUCACUACGCUAUGUUCUUCAGUUAUGUUCUUCUCGGCUUGGUAGAGGCAAAGCUUCUAUUUAGGAUCAUCCAUUUUUGGGAUCCCAGAGCACAGCGAGAGGAUACAUGCUUAUUGGUCUGGAUAUAAGGAGAGGAGGCGGAUUCAAAAUGCAUGUUCUUUCGACUACUGCAAAGAGAUUUCGUUUAUUUAUAGGAACUUCUAGCCGAAACAUGGAAGACCUUGAAAGUAUAUCGAAGGCUUGGUUCGAUUUUUGGAAAGAACGCUGAGGUGGAAACAUCUAGCUCCCAUUUCACAAACAACACCCGCAAUGAUACGACGGUUGACGCUUUCGACAGUUUUGUCUGCAAAAAUGGAGCCGGAAACCAUAUUCUGGGAGCUGUCUUUGUUGAUCUCGAGACCAUUGUCAUCUAUGAAAUCUACCGGGACUUACUAGCAGCUUUUCAAUCAUGAGUAACUUAUCUCUGGGAACAACUUCGCCAAUGUUGGAAAGGAGAUUGUGGACCUUUGUCUUAACAGUGUCAGAGAUCUUGCCGACAACUAUACAUGCUUGCAAGGGGUUAUUGGUCUUUAAUGCUGGUGGUGGAGUAACUGGUUCUGGUUUGGGAUAUCUGUUGUUAGAACCUUUGUCUGUAGAUUAAGGAAAUAAGUCGAAACUUGGAUCCACCAUAUAUCCUUCUCCUCAGGUUUGUACUGCUGUUAUAGGUACCUUACAACGGUGUUCUCUUGCUGCCUUCGCUACUUUAAAAAUCUCUCAUAUUUCCUAAAUUUUGCAAGCUCGGUGUUGCGGUUGUAGUGCGUUGAAGUUUGAGCUAAUGAUCUCCCUCAAAUGUCGGCAAAGAUUUUGACAGGGAUUCAUGUGGGCGAGAAAGUCUUAUUCCUAAGGAUUCAGUUAUUCGCAAAUGACAAUAUGCAUCCGUUCAUAUUCCAAAAGAGGCAAUACCACCAAUAAGAGUAUGUUAUGCACAGGUUGCCCUCAAUCUCCCAAGACCAGUUUGUAGGCAUGGUCAGUUGUUUGUGGCUCUCUCACGACUCACAAAGCCUGUGAGAAUAAAAAUACUUGAUAAUACGGAAGCUACAAGUAAGAUUUCACUUUCUAACAAUAUAACUUAAUAUAUCAGCCUGGCUUUUUAACAUACAUUGCAGGAAACAGCUUGGAUAGGAGUCCAGUUUCAUAACAACGACGAGCAAAACUACUCAUUGGGAAGACACCGAAACAGUCAAACACAUUGUUAGGAAUAGCUAUGUCUGAGACGCUUUGAAAUGUUAUAGAGAACUUGCAUAUUUUAGUUUAUUUACGAUAACGAAACAGAGCCACAAGUACGUGGUGAUGCAUUUUUUAUUAAGGAUAAGAAGGAUUAAAAUAUUAGACAGCUUAA